UAUGCCCCCCUUCAAAGAAGAGGGGGUUUAUUGCUUUGCUCAUGUCGGUCUGUUGGUCGGUCCGUCCACCAGGUGGUUGUCAGACGAUAACUCAAGAACACUUGGGCCUAGGAUCAUGAAACUUCAUAGGUACAUUGAUCAUGACUCGCAGAUGACCCCUAUUGAUUUUGAGGUCACUAGGUCAAAGGUCAAGGUCACGGUGACCAGAAAUAGUAAAAUGGUUUUUGAAUGAUAACUCAAGAACGCAUACGCCUAGGAUCAUGAAACUUCAUGGGUAGAUUGAUCAUGACUUGCAGAUGACCCCUAUUGAUUUUGAGGUCACUAGGUCAAAGGUCAAGGUAACGGUGACCCGAAAUAGUAAAAUGGUUUCCGGAUGAUAACUCAAGAACGCAUACGCCUAGGAUCAUGAAACUUCAUGGGUAGAUUGAUCAUGACUCGCAGAUGACCCCUAUCAAUUUUGAGGUCACUAGGUCAAAGGUCAAGGUCACGGUGACCCGAAAUAGUAAAAUGGUUUCCGGAUGAUAACUCAAGAACGCAUACGCCUAGGAUCAUGAAACUUCAUAGGUAGA